GACGAACGCUGGCGGCGUGCCUAACACAUGCAAGUCGAACGAAGCAUUUGGGAGUUUACUUUCGGAUGCUUAGUGGCGGACGGGUGAGUAACACGUGAGCAACCUGGCUCUAAGAGGGGAAUAACGCAGGGAAACCUGCACUAAUACCGCAUAACGUAUUUUGGUGGCAUCAUCGGAAUACCAAAGGAGAAAUCCGCUUAGAGAUGGGCUCGCGUCCGAUUAGAUAGUUGGUGAGGUAACGGCCCACCAAGUCUGCGAUCGGUAGCCGGACUGAGAGGUUGAACGGCCACAUUGGGACUGAGAUACGGCCCAGACUCCUACGGGAGGCAGCAGUGAGGGAUAUUAGGCAAUGGGGGAAACCCUGACCUAGCAACGCCGCGUGAAGGAAGACGGUCUUCGGAUUGUAAACUUCUUUGACGAGGGACGAUAAUGACGGUACCUCGAAAACAAGCCACGGCUAACUACGUG
rnacentral:rRNA from 1 species